rnacentral:misc_RNA from 1 species
GCCACGAUGGUGAGUCCAUGAACCCCAAGCAGAAGGGUAAGGUUCGCCAAUAUUGUAAGGGAGAUCCUUAAGUCCGGUACCCGAUCCACCCACCACUCCCUUCAAAAAUUUAAACAUAUUGUCCUUGUUCUUCUAUGCUAGUAUCGAGAAUACAAAAAGGAGUUGGCGAUCUGCAAAACUGGAAUUGAUUCGACUGGAUCUGAGAGUGAGAAUUGAGAAAGUG